rnacentral:tRNA from 1 species
GCGGGAGUAGCUCAGUUGGUAGAGCACAACCUUGCCAAGGUUGAGGUCGCGAGUUCGAGACUCGUCUUCCGCUCCA